UGAUCCUGAUAUUACUACGGUUGGCAUGUAAUUGGAUUAGACUUUUGACAGUUAGCAUGCUAGCAAUUAGCGCACAAAUGAGCACAAUUCUUGCUUUAAAAAAAAUCAUUCAGCUAUUUAAUAAUGUACCGGUAGCUAUCUUGUGCUGCCAGCUUAUCCAGAGAAUGAUUGACAUGAUUAAAAAAUGCUAGUUUAGCCAGGGAUUAUUUGUGUUACUGUCGCCUUAUUAUUUGAGAGUCUAUCCAGCAAAUUCGACGUCAUGUGGUUUGUUGUGUGGCACAUUUUGAUCUGCUUGCUAUUUUUUAUCAUGUUUCACAAGCUAGCCUGCGCUAAUGUAUCGCUACGUAAGUCUUUUUUUUUAUCUCACGUUGUAGGGGUUGACAGGUUCACCUUAUGGAUUUGCCUGAAACUCCUCAUUGUUGGAGCAUGUUACAUGUCACGUGACAGUAAUUGCACAGCCCGCAAGCAAGACGACAGACAAGUGGUUCGAAAAUGAUGUGGUCUUUUUUUACGUAUGUGACCUUUCGCGAUUAACUUCAAUCAGUAAUGACAAGGAGUAACUCACUUAUAAUAGACUUUACCGUCAUAGCGUCUUUGCUUAAUUAGCACUAAGUGAGGUCAGAAGCAACAUUUCUGUGCAUUUACUGACUUGAGUUCUUGCGAGUCUUACCUACUCAUUGCCGCUGUCAAUCCUGUCAGCGGCAUUCCUAACGCUGGUCGCUACGGAUGUUGUCGCAUGUCACUCGAGGUUUUGUCGCAGUAGUGGUCGGUCAGGGCUAGGAAGUGCUUCUCUGCCAGCCGAAAUACUAUCAGAAGAACUGACCUAUAUUUACAACAUAUUUGUGUGUGUGUUGCAUGAAAUGUUUUUAAUUUAUUCCCAGCAGUCUUCAUUUUGGAGUGUUUCUCUUGGAUGUACUGGUUGCAGUAGAUAGAUGUUAGCUGUUCAAUGUUUUUGCCACUGUGUCAGUCAAAUCUGCCAGGGAGCUUCGGAAUCACUCGUCCUUUCUUUCUGACACAGGUAGGGAUUUGCCAAUGUGUCGGACUGCCGCAUUGGAGCGCCAAAUGCUGCCGUGGAAGACGAGCGCAAUGUCAGAUUUUGUGUUAUUUUUUUGGCUGCAGUAUCUGUGGCCGGUAUCGGCUGCCUUCAUGAGUCUCCGAUACUCCCCCCCCCAAAAAAAACACACACAAAAAAAACUAAGGCUAGUAUCGGCCUGAACCCUAUAUCCCUAUAGGUGAUACAGAGAGGAUGAUAACCUAAGUCCCCACUGAAUGCCCAGGUAGCAAAUGCACAGCUUGACGCUUUUUUGAAAAGAAAAUGCCGGAAUGUUUCCGAUACUUUUGACAUGAUGGAAUUUAUUGAACAUCUGUGAUAUGGAUGAGUGGUUUAGUGAUUUUCCUUCGAGGGCUCCCUUUGCUUUGGUCCCCAUGUGGCUAAUACACACAUACACACACACACACACACACACACACACACACACACACACACACACACACACACACACACACACACACACACACACACACACUUGUAAACAAACCCAGCUGCGGUGCGGACAUGUUGGCAUUCCGAUGUGGCUUCUUGUCUUGCCGUCAUAUGAUUUUAUGAGUUCAUUUUUACCAUCUAAUGAUAGGGCACAGAUGGACCUUAAGGGAACGGUACCAAUUCUUUUUUUCUGACUAAUGACUGACUAAUGACUGACAAAUGACGGGAGAAUCUCGAGUAUCAUUUUAAUAUUCGUAACUGUAAUACUUAGCGCCUGAUGUUAGCUAUUAGCGACAUCCUAAUAGAUAAGUCCAACAAGUAGCGCCUGUGUUGCUUUUUCUUAAAUUAAAACCGAGUAAAGUGAAUUCAGCAUUGUAGUGCUUACUGUAGCAUGAUGGUUUUUUUUUUUGUUAUUAUUAUUAUUAUUAUUGGUAACUUUCUACAAUGAUUUAAUGACUGCAAUAUCACAAUAAUAUCUUGAGAACUUGGAUGCACCACACGUGUAACAACGCAACACUUCUUUUUUUAGGAAGGCUCCCAUCUAUUUCUAGGGAUGCUGUCGUGACGCCAGACGGGGCAGACACCCGGGAACAUUCCGACUUGUCAACGGUUCGUUAUGAGCAUCUGUGGUCAUGGCUGAGGUGUCCUUAAGAGAAUCUUCUCAAUGUACUGAAUGUCUAGUGACGGGUCAGGUCAUUUACACUGUUUCUGUUAACCCCGCAGUCCACAAAAACCUCUCGGAGAAGACUAUCUGACAACAUCACUUUGAGAAAAUGAAAACACGAAGACCCUCCCCGAUUGUCUAGAUAAGAGGCAACGCAUGCUUGCUUCAAGCCGUUUGUCACUCCUAGUUGAGGUUUACUUUCAAAUGGACACAUAAAACAAGAGAGUUAAACGUUGUAUAUUUAAACACAAAAUACCCAAGUGGUUGAGCAAACCAUAUAAUUUCGUGCGGAGAAAGUUUAGCUUAAUGCUAACUUAUGAUGCAAAUGCCAUAGCUGCGCUAAAAAAAGUUCAUCAAUCCACCCAUCCGUUUUCCAAUCCGCUUAUCCUCACAAAGGUCGUGGGGGGUGCUGGAACCUAUCCCAGCUUUCUUCGGGCAAGAUGAACAAUCAUCCGCGCUCACACUUACACCUAGGGACAAUUUUGCGUGUUCCAUCUGCCUACCAUGCAUGUUUUUGAAAUGUGGGAAGAAACCGGAAUACCCGGAGAAA